rnacentral:rRNA from 1 species
UACGUAGGGGGCAAGCGUUGUCCGGAUUUAUUGGGCGUAAAGAGCGUGUAGGCGGCCAGACAGGUCCGUUGUGAAAACUCGAGGCUCAACCUCGAGACGCCGAUGGAAACCGUCUGGCUAGAGUCCGGAAGAGGAGAGUGGAAUUCCUGGUGUAGCGGUGAAAUGCGCAGAUAUCAGGAAGAACACCAGUGGCGAAGGCGACUUACUGGACACAUAUUGACGCUGAGGUGCGAAAGCGUGGGGAGCAAACAGG